GUAAUCGUUUGCUUUGGAUUACAUGCAUGUAGUCUGUCUAGGAGUUACAAAGACUUUAUUGUUGACCUGGAUAAAAAAACGUAAAAAACCUUAUUCACUUAAGCAGAAGCAAAUUCAAGCAUUAGAUUCAAGAAUAAUGUUUAUUUGCAAUCAGGUGCCGCGAGAGUUUGCUAGGCACCCACGUUCUUUGAAAGAUGUUGAGCGGUUUAAAGCCACAGAGUUUAGGAAAAGCAUCAGAAAAUACUCCUGUAACUAAAAAUGAUAUUGAUUGGCUUGAGAAAAGGAUAUUGGACCGUAUAAAACAGUCGGAAAAUAAAAUACUGAAAGAAUAGACCGAAAUCAAAAAUCCUUAAAGAGGGCCCUGACACGAAUUUUGCAAGAAACAAAGCAGACUACAAAGAGAAGCCACAAAUCACGAAGUGAGCUGCUCCUGAAAGUUCCAUUUGAUAACUUGGAACAAUUGCAAAAUUUUGAAAAGGAUAUAGAGGAGCAUUCCAGCAAAUUUAAUGAACUGAAGGAGGAAUUUUUCACAGUAUCUGGCCACACAGCUGAAAAGUUCGUAAAAAAUGCUUGGCGCCAAAUUUUUACCGAUGGUGUUGCGCAGAAUUUGUGCUGGAAGGGUACGAAGGAUAAAAUGGCUGUGAGACCCUUAAGUGUAACAGCUGCCUUAAAAAGUACAUUUUUGUCUAAAUUCCCUCAUGCGACAGAUACAGACUUUGAGCGCACGUCUAUAGUCUUCUUCCAGCAUGCUAAAGAACGCUACAUGAAGAAAAUGGCAUACGACUCCAAAAAAACAAAAACGUAAAAAUUUAACUUAAAAGAACAUA